rnacentral:rRNA from 1 species
GACGAACGCUGGCGGCGUGCCUAAUACAUGCAGGUCGAACGCUGAAGAGAGGAGCUUGCUCUUCUUGGAUGAGUUGCGAACGGGUGAGUAACGCGUAGGUAACCUGCCUUGUAGCGGGGGAUAACUAUUGGAAACGAUAGCUAAUACCGCAUAACAAUGGAUGACCCAUGUCAUUUAUUUGAAAGGGGCAACUGCUCCACUACAAGAUGGACCUGCGUUGUAUUAGCUAGUAGGUGAGGUAACGGCUCACCUAGGCGACGAUACAUAGCCGACCUGAGAGGGUGAUCGGCCACACUGGGACUGAGACACGGCCCAGACUCCUACGGGAGGCAGCAGUAGGGAAUCUUCGGCAAUGGGGGCAACCCUGACCGAGCAACGCCGCGUGAGUGAAGAAGGUUUUCGGAUCGUAAAGCUCUGUUGUAAGUCAAGAACGAGUGUGAGAGUGGAAAGUUCACACUGUGACGGUAGCUUACCAGAAAGGGACGGCUAACUACGUG